rnacentral:lncRNA from 1 species
GUCCUCGCAACGGGCGUCCCGGGGAGCUGCUGAAGUCCUCCCCGCUGCAGAGGACCGAGAGGCAGGGCCCGGGAGAGAACAGCCCGGUCGGAGGGGGUGGGCCGUCAGCCGCCCCGGAAAGCUGCGUUUCCCGGUGAUUAAGUGUAGCACCCGCCCCCGUAGAAGUUAACGUCCUCUGGGAUCAGAGAGAAGAGAAUCUCACCCCUAGACUCCUAACAGGGGCCUUCAAGCCUUUAACCCAGAGUGUCACACCAGGAAACCAGAUCAAAACAGCAAGUUCCCACCGCACCCCCAACCUAACCCUUCUCUGGCUUCACCUGUGUAUAUUCCUUGCCCAUCCCACCCUCCUCCUCUUGAAACCCCCUCCCACCCAUCCCCAAUCCGAGGUGGGAACUUCAUGUUGAGGAAUAAGGGGAGGCAGUACAGCAAAACCUCAUUAAUCCAAACCCCUGUGGAUUUGGAAUUUCUUCAUAAUCUGAAGAAAAACUGAGCUUGCAUUUUCCUUUAUCUGUGAAGAAAAGGUGUACUAAGCAAAUUAGUGGUGGAAAUAUGUCUGUAGGAGGGGAUAUUUAACCCAUACCAGAAAACAGACUUUUGAAUCCUAUCUAUUCAUUAAUGCAUGCUCCCUGAGGAGUGGAAAAAGCCUUGUUCAUCGAGUUCUGUAUAUAUUUUGAAGACAUGCAUUUCAUUAAAUAGACACUGUCAUUCCGUUUGUCACUUAUUCACAGUGGCCAUCUUCUCAAAUAUAACAUUCCAAAUUAGAGAGAGGUUUAACUGUACUGGGGGGAAAGGAAGGGGAUUCAGGGAAGUGAUAUGGGAAGGGAAAAAUCUUGUGGGAGGGCUGCCCCUCUCUCUCACAAUUAUGGCGGAAAUGACUAGGAGCUUCUGCAGACACAGCAUGCCCCAAUCUCUGCAUCCCUGGGAAGCAGAAACUGGCUUUAUUCUUUUCCACUCCCAUCUUCUUUUCAGUCCUUCUCCCUGGGCUCCCAAUUAGAGGGUGAGGGGUACCAGACCAGCUCCUACCCCUGGUUCUACUCUCAUCACCUCCUAUAGCUCCUUGACCAACUCCUGGUUCCUGCCCUUAGCUCCGCCUUCUGUUCCUCUGCUGGGAGAAAAGAAAGCCAUCUGAAUUUCCCUACGCUUCUGGUUGGGAAAUUCACUUCCUUCUCUCUUUGGCUGUUGUAAUUAUCUGGGGUUUGUACUGUACAUGUCCGUGUGUGUGUGUGUGGGCUGGGGGCAACACUUGGCUUUUUAAAAUUCAGGCUCAAAACUAAUUUCUAAUUAAUGGCUGAGUUGCAGAGAGACCAAUACCUACCACAAGUGGUUUAGAACAAAUGUCCAAAUUAUUUCCUGGGCCACAUGGCAUUUAGGCUUGGUAAUAUAGCUAUGUCUGACCUUAGGAUACAAAACCUUCCAAGUAAAAGCUUCUAUAUAAGCUCUCCCUUCCAUCCUAGGAUCAAGGAGCUAACCUCUCAGAUCACCCAAACCCCAGCCUUGGGUAUGAGAUACCCAGCAAAACUGCCUUCUUAGCUUGCUGGGUAUCUCACACAUUUUCUGCAAGUCAGUGAGAGGAAAUCACUUAUGGUAGGGUAUCCUGAGUAUGGCGGGAGAGCAGGGAAGGAACCCCCAGAUUCCAUUCCCUCUGUUUGUCUGCUGGUGACAGCACAUAAGCAUGCCCUGGACACCCCCAUGGACCCAAAUUUAGAAAGUGGAUAAAUUAGGGUGCCAUUAUUCAUUUUACAAAAGAAUUCACUGCAGGAGUCCUUUAAAUGGCAAAGUCCCCUGGUGCCUUUUAGCAUCUUUAUAGAUCACCAGCUACUUUGACAGAGAGGCUGGGCAGGCAGAGAAUUAAAAUUACAGUGUAAGGAGCCACUGCCCACUGCAGCUCAAUCCCAAAGAAAAUCGCAUCUCAGAAAUGAUGGCUAUAGCUGACAGGUUCUCAUUUACUGGCUUUUUAGGUAGGGUGAUGUGUCCGGCAAGGCCACUCGAUGGCAGGAGAGGGGGAGUGAGUGGCAUCAGCAACCUGGGGAUGUGAGCUGUGAAGAGUACAUUCUUUACCAUGCUGUUCCUGGCACCUCUCCCUGGGAAUCAACAUGCCUACUGAGCCCACGAUCUGAUCUAGGAGGAUGUCUCUCCCCAUUUCUAAACUCCCAGGCCACAUGAUCAAGUCCAUGUCCUAACAUCUGCCUGAGGUUCCUUUCUUGCUCCUUCUUGUUCCAUCCACCCUGCCUAAUGUCAGGACAUCUCAAUAGCAUUUUUUCCAGGGUAUCUCAAGUCUCCCUGAGUUAACUACCCACUCCUAAUUCCCACCCAAUGGGGGCUAAUAUGAGCUUCAGAUGCCUUCUGCCUCACAGAUAUAAGGAGGAGGAAGAGAGAGAAUCAGGUGAGGAGUGGAAAGGAGGGUAGAGAACCAAGAUUAGGGAAGGAAGAGGGAAACCCAACCUACCUGCUGCAGUCAGCACAGCCCCUAUAGCCAAGAUCCUCCAACCCAUCAUUGCCUCCACCCCAUUAACAAACCCACCCCCAGCCCCUAAGGACGCUCUGGUGAAAUGGGGGGUGACAGACAUACACUGGAGAGGUAGAGGAAGAGGAGGGCUUAGAGUCAGGAGGAGGCUGGGAGGGGGUGGGUUUUGCAGGGAAGUGGGUGUGACCUGUGAAUGUGCUGGGCCCAUCUAGGGCCCAACUCUUGGUGUUGCUAAGGUAUUGUUGGACAGUUCUGGGAAGCAGCAGCAAAUGCUCUCUUUGGGUGGUGUCUUG